UUACCCCACAGAGUGCAGAGAUGAACCCCUGUCUGAGAAGAUGCAGGUACCCACGGGGUGCAGAGAUGAACCCCUGAGAAGAUGCAUGUACCCACGGGGUGCAGAGAUGAACCCCUGAGAAGACGCAUGUACCCACGGCUGCCCCUCAUCUUAGCACCACAGUGCCAGCCCCACCCCGUCUUUGAUAAACCCUGACCUUCCAGGGCCUCCCUUAGAGAGCCAGCCCCUGCCGAGUCCACAAAGGUAGCUGCGGUCCGGGGUGCCGACCCUUCGCAUUGGGAGAAACCCUCACCAGUAGCAUCACCCCCCAGUGAGCCGAGGUCACGCCACUGCAGCAUCACCGGGGAGGCAUCUGGUUGUCGCUGCAGAACUCUGGAGGGGCAGGCUCUCGUGUGGGUGGGGGCCAUGGAGGACGCAGCGUGGGAUUUAAAACGAGCUGAAGGGAAAUUUCCCAGUGAAGGGAAAUGCUGGUACUUCAAUGUCCAUGAGCUCAAGCCCUGUGGGAGGUGUAGCCUCGAUUACUCUGUACAAAUCUGAACAGCAUUCACACCCAGUUGGACGUGGCCCUUUCCUCGAACCACAGAUUGGAACUCAAGGUCACUGAAGUGCUUUCUGGCCACAUCAUGGAGAGAAAGGCAUUUUCCCACUCAGGCGUCACCCAGGGAACGCAGCGUGCUGUGUUUUAGCAUCUAAAUGUGUCCCUCGAGGAGGCAGGGUUAUGCCGUGAUCACAAGCAACCCCCAAAUCUCAAUGGCAUAAAUGGCACAGGGUAAUUUCUCACGGGAUUGCGCGUCCACCUGGGUCACUGCGGAGUUCUGCUGGCCAGAGUCGCUCGGAGCCCCCGCGUGAAUGCUGGAUGGCCAGCCGGGGAGGGCACUCAGGGGCCUCGCACCGUCCACGCCCCACUCCGAAGCGACACCCGUUGCUUCCACCCGUCACCUGCUGGAGACAGACAGUCACACGGGCCCCUGGACGCAGUGGGGUGGGAAGGGAGAUCCUACCGCGUGCUUGGAAGACGGGAGAACCCGGGUGUUUUGGUGAGUAGUGCUCUCUCAGUCAGCACCGCAGCCUUCCAGCAAAUCGGGAUUUUAUGCCAAACCCACCUCACGCCCCCAAAUACCAGGCUCCCCAGUGUAGCAACGAAUGACACGCUGUCGAAUCAGACUUCAAUGCAACCAUGUCACAGAAGACAUGACUAAAGCAAAACACGACUUUUGGUUUUGACGACUUUGGGUCUGGGCCUCUGCUUCCCUUUCCUGGGCCAAGAUCCUCUGGGCGUGGAGUUCAGGAAUGAGGGUGGGAGCUUCCCCAGGAGACCCAAGUGUGGGCGGCGGUUGCUCGGACCAAGUCCUCACUGAGAGUGACCUCGACAGACAUCCACUGGCAGCUCCAGCUUAGGCCCAGGAGACAAAGUGGGGGUCACUGACACCCCAGAUUUUUUUAAAUGACUGAAUCAUUAUUUGAACGCUGGUCUGUUGGAUUUCAAGGCCUGUGAUUUUUCCACUGCUGACUCCUGGGACAGCAGAGUUUCUUAGAUUGGACAUAACAACACACUGAUCCCCGCCCCUCCUGCUUUUCUGUUUUUAAAAUCAUUUUGUUUUUAAUUCACAAAUAUUGCAUAUGUCAUAUGGGGUACCAUGCGAUGUUGAUAUAUGUUUAAAAUGUGGAAUGAUUAAAUCAGGCUAAUUUACUAUUUUUUCUAAAAGGACCUUGGAUUCAAAAUUAACUUUAAUUUUCUUUCCACUUUGCCUAUUUAGCCUUGGCAAGAUCAGUCCUUUGUGGCACGUCCAGGAUUUAAGCUUUGGACCACCAAUGAGGAGGGCGUUGGUCUGAGCCUGUUUUUCCAAAUGCUGUCUUCCCUUCUUGGGCUUAGGCAGCAGAUCCAACUAUGGGCACAGCAGGCCUUGGGAAGGCAAUGCAGGUUCACAGUGUGCUGAAGACGAAGAGAUGCAGGGGACUCAAACCCACCGGCCGAGGCACCACCCGCUUCUCUAGGAUUCAUUUUUCCUGUUUCCUCCUGGCCCAUGAUGUGGACAACUUGCCCCUUCAUCAUAAGCGCUCAGGUUGGUGAACAAGUCACCCACCAGCAUAUUCAAACCAUGGCCAAACAGUGGCUGAAAAUGACAGCAAGCAGCCACUUAGCACAGGGAUCUGUCAGUGGGCUGGACGCGACAGGGAGGAUUUGGCUCUGCGCCUGGGUCCGGGACCCCGAAUGGCAGUGGGGUUGGCUCUGCACCUGGGGCCCGGGACCUUGACUGGCGGUGGGGGCUGGAGGAAGCUGCACUCAUUGGACGGCUCGGCACUCACACAUCUGAGGGUUGUGGCUGGCCUUGGCAGAGACCUGCUCCUGGCAGUGGCUGAGCUGUCGGAAUCCAGCACCUGCCCCUCCACUUGACCUGAGCUUCCUCACAGCAUGGCUACCCGGUUCCAAGCUCCAGCCCCAGGAGAGAUGGCCAGGCGGGAGCUGCAUCAUGUUCUCCCAUUUCCUGUUCUUGAUUCACCCCCACUGGGCACUGCAGCCUUCCUGCCAACACAGCUCUCAGGAGUAUGGCUGCCACACGCAGAGGCAUUUCCCCAUAUGGCCCUCCUGUGUGCUGUAAAUGCUGACAGCUCCUCAAUGGAACCCGCGUGUGGUGGGCGCUGCUUCCUCGUGUAAAUGCUCUCGUCAUAACUGGUUUCAAGCCGACAGUACGACCACUGAGUCCAGAGUCAGGAACAACGGCUCUGCACGCUGGUGGGAAUUCGCCCCGGCUCACGCCUGCACCCCGGCCAUGGCUCUGUGGAGCUCUCCGUCCCAGGGAACCUUCUCCUGGCUUUCGCAUCCUGCCCCUUCCCAGAUUUCCGACCUCUCUGGCUGUGCCUUCUGUGCCUUCCCCGCAGCCCUGAUAUGGGCACGGCUCAUGUCCAGCACUCCUCAGCACUUCCUUCUUUCCCAGCUCCGCCCACAACUUCCUCCACGCCUGCUCCGUUUCUGUCUGAGUGCAGGCCACUCCCAGGUUGACACCUGUGUUCCACGUUGCACGGCUCGGCGUGUGGGCUUGGACAGUGGGAGAUGCAGCUUUCCAUGAACAGCCCUGGUGUGUGGUCUGGCAAGUGGUAAGGCGGCUCCGUGGUGGUCAGGACUGAACUCGGGGUCUUGCUGCUCUGCCACCCUCCACCCAGAUCUGCAGCUCAGAGCUGAAGGUGACAUUGUGCCUUCUGGUCAGUGGGAAGGAGUUAGGAGAAGAGAGGGCGGGACCUGCUUCUCUGUUGAGGGUGUGGGCGGGAAGCACAGGCUUCACUCCCCUCCACAGCCAGGCAUGUGGGUGACGUGGC